CAGCAGCCGCGGUAAUACAGAGGAUGCAAGCGUUAUCCGGAAUGAUUGGGCGUAAAGCGUCUGUAGGUGGCUUUUCAUGUCCGCCGUCAAAUCCCAGGGCUCAACCCUGGACAGGCGGUGGAAACUACCAAGCUAGAGUACGGUAGGGGCAGAGGGAAUUUCCGGUGGAGCGGUGAAAUGCGUUGAGAUCGAAAAGAACACCAACGACGAAAGCACUCUGCUGGGUCGACACUGACACUGAGAGACGAAAGCUAGGGGAGCAAAUGGGAUUAGAUACCCCAGUAGUCCCUGUCUCUUAUAC
rnacentral:rRNA from 1 species